AUUGAACGCUGGCGGCAGGCCUAACACAUGCAAGUCGAGCGAGCGGCGGACGGGUGAGUAAUGGCGGGGAAACUGCCUGAUGGAGGGGGAUAACUACUGGAAACGGUAGCUAAUACCGCAUACCAUCAGAUGUGCCCCGAUGUGAUGAGUUAGUAGGUUGGGUAACUUCUCACCUAGGCGACGAUCCCUAGCUGGUCUGAGAGGAUGACCAGCCAAACGGGAACUGAGACACGGUCCAGACUCCUACGGGAGGCAGCAGUGGGGAAUAUUGCACAAGGGGCGCAAGCCUGAUGCAGCCAUGCCGCGUGUGUGAAGAAGGCCUUCGGGUUGUAAAGCACUUUCAGCGGGGAGGCGUUACCCGCAGAAGAAGCACCGGCUAACUCCGUGCCAGCAGCCGCGGUAAUAC
rnacentral:rRNA from 1 species